rnacentral:snRNA from 1 species
GUGCUUGCUUCGGCAGCACAUAUACUAAAACCGGAACGAUACAGAGAAGAUUAGUAUGGUCCCUCUGCAAGGAUGGCACGCAAAUUCAUGAAGCGUUCCAUAUAUUU